UACGGGGGGGCAAGCGUUGUUCGGAAUUACUGGGCGUAAAGGGCUCGUAGGCGGCCAACUAAGUCAUACGUGAAAUCCCUCGGCUUAACCGGGGAACUGCGUCUGAUACUGGAUGGCUUGAGUUCGGGAGAGGGAUGCGGAAUUCCAGGUGUAGCGGUGAAAUGCGUAGAUAUCUGGAGGAACACCGGUGGCGAAGGCGGCAUCCUGGACCGAUACUGACGCUGAUGAGCGAAAGCCAGGGGAGCAAACGGG
rnacentral:rRNA from 1 species